ACCCGCUGAACUUAAGCAUAUCACUAAGCGGAGGAAAAGAAACUAACUAGGAUGGCCUCAGUAACGGCGAGUGAAGCGGCCAAAGCCCAAGAUGGAAAUCUCCGUGCUGUGCACGGCGAAUUGUAAUCUAUAGGAGUCAUGCUCACCGGGUGGUGGCGCAGAAGUGCCCUGGAACGGGCCGCCAAAGAGGGUGACAGCCCCGUAUGUGGUGCCGCCGCCUAACGAGCAGGCUUUCAAAGAGUCGGGUUGUUUGGUAUUGCAGCCCUAAGUGGGAGAUAAACUUCUUCUAAGGCUAAAUAUAUGUGGGAAACCGAUAGCGAACAAGUACUGUGAAGGAAAGAUGAAAAGCACUUUGAAAAGAGAGUCAAAAGACCUGAAACCGUUGAGGAGGAAGCGGUAGAGAUGAAUUCUAAGGCGAGGCAUGGGGAAAGUGGCCUAAUCAUGGCAGGCUUGUCGUACGUCAAAGGCGGCUGUUUGUCUUAGAGGAAGCUACUUACUUAUGUUGCGUCUUGAGGCCGGAUGGGGUGACGUGACCACAGAGGCCUUUUAUAAGUCAGCAAUGAAUUAUGGGAGUGCCGGUGGACGCGUGGCCUGAGGGUGCUUUGUGCGAUCCGGCCAAAAUGGUCUUUACCGACCCGUCUUGAAACACGGACCAAGGAGUCUAACGUACGCGCGAGUGUGCCGGUGGAAAAACCGACACGCGGAAUGAAAGUGAGUGAUGCCAAGCGCAAGCAGCAGCAUCGACCGACCAGAAUUCUAGGUUUGAGUACGAGCGUGUCCGCUAGGACCCGAAAGAUGGUGAACUAUGCCUGCGUAGGGUGAAGCCAGGGGAAACUCUGGUGGAGGCUCGAAGCGAUACUGACGUGCAAAUCGUUCGUCGAACGUGGGUAUAGGGGCGAAAGACUAAUCGAACCAUCUAGUAGCUGGUUCCCUCCGAAGUUUCCCUCAGGAUAGCUGGGACAAUUGCGCAGUUUUAUUAGGUAAAGCGAAUGAUUAGAGGCCUCGGGGGCUACGUGCCCUCGACCUAUUCUCAAACUUUAAAUUGGUAAGAACCCGGGCCUUUCUUAAGUGAGGCUCCGGGGCUCAAUGCGUGUCCUAAGUGGGCCAUUUUUGGUAAGCAGAACUGGCGAUGAGGGAUGCUCCUAACGUUGUGUUAAGGCGCCAAACUACGCGCUCAUCAGAAACUACAAAGGGUGUUAGUCCAUCCAGACAGCAGGACGGUGGCCAUG
rnacentral:rRNA from 1 species